rnacentral:lncRNA from 13 species
GUUCAAUACCUCCACAUUCCCACAACAUGUUCAAUAGCUCCACAUAUCCACAACAUGUUCAAUACCUCCACAUAUCCACAACGCAACAUGUUCAAUACCACCACAUAUCCACAACACAUCAAUACCACCACAUAUCCACAACACAACNNNNNNNNNNCAUACAGUGCCUUGCGAAUGUAUUCGGCCCCCUUGAACUUUGCGACCUUUUGCCACAUUUCAGGCUUCAAACAUAAAGAUAUAAAACUGUAUUUUUUUGUGAAGAAUCAACAACAAGUGGGACACAAUCAUGAAGUGGAACGACAUUUAUUGGAUAUUUCAAACUUUUUUAACAAAUCAAAAACUGAAAAAUUGGGCGUGCAAAAUUAUUCAGCCCCUUUACUUUCAGUGCAGCAAACUCUCUCCAGAAGUUCAGUGAGGAUUUCUGAAUGAUCCAAUGUUGACCUAAAUGACUAAUGAUGAUAAAUACAAUCCACCUGUGUGUAAUCAAGUCUCCGUAUAAAUGCACCUGCACUGUGAUAGUCUCAGAGGUCCG